rnacentral:rRNA from 1 species
CUACGGGGGGCUGCAGUGAGGAAUAUUGCACAAUGGGGGGAACCCUGAUGCAGCAACGCCGCGUGGAGGAUGACGCAUUUCGGUGUGUAAACUCCUUUUAUAUGUCAAGAAAAUGACGGUAGCAUAUGAAUAAGCACCGGCUAACUCCGUGCCAGCAGCCGCGGUAAUACGGAGGGUGCAAGCGUUACUCGGAAUCACUGGGCGUAAAGGACGCGUAGGCGGGCUUGUAAGUCAGGUGUGAAAUCCUACAGCUUAACUGUAGAACUGCACUUGAAACUACGAGCCUAGAGUAUGGGAGGGGCAGAUGGAAUUAGUGGUGUAGGGGUAAAAUCCGUAGAUAUCACUAGGAAUACCUAAAGCGAAGGCGAUCUCCUGGAACAUUACUGACGCUAAGGCGUGAAAGCGUGGGGAGCAAACAGGAUUAGAUACCCCUGUAGUC